UAGGGAAUCUUCCGCAAUGGGCGAAAGCCUGACGGAGCAACGCCGCGUGAGUGAAGAAGGAUUUCGGUUCGUAAAGCUCUGUUGUUAGGGAAGAAUGAUUGUGUAGUAACUAUACACAGUAGAGACGGUACCUAACCAGAAAGCCACGGCUAACUACGUGCCAGCAGCCGCGGUAAUACGUAGGUGGCAAGCGUUGUCCGGAAUUAUUGGGCAUAAAGCGCGCGCAGGUGGUUUAAUAAGUCUGAUGUGAAAGCCCACGGCUCAACCGUGGAGGGUCAUUGGAAACUGUUAAACUUGAGUGCAGGAGAGAAAAGUGGAAUUCCUAGUGUAGCGGUGAAAUGCGUAGAGAUUAGGAGGAACACCAGUGGCGAAGGCGGCUUUUUGGCCUGUAACUGACACUGAGGCGCGAAAGCGUGGGGAGCAAACAGGAUUAGAUACCCUGGUAGUCCACGCCGUAAACGAUGAGUGCUAAGUGUUGGUCUCAUAAGAGAUCAGUGCUGCAGCUAACGCAUUAAGCACUCCGCCUGGGGAGUACGACCGCAAGGUUG
rnacentral:rRNA from 1 species